AGCGAACGCUGGCGGCAGGCCUAACACAUACAAGUCGAACGGACCCUUCGGGGUUAGUGGCGGACGGGUGAGUAACACGUGGGAACGUGCCUUUAGGUUCGGAAUAGCUCCUGGAAACGGGUGGUAAUGCCGAAUGUGCCCUUCGGGGGAAAGAUUUAUCGCCUUUAGAGCGGCCCGCGCCUGAUUAGCUAGUUGGUGGGGUAAUGGCUCACCAAGGCGACGAUCAGUAGCUGGUCUGAGAGGAUGACCAGCCACAUUGGGACUGAGACACGGCCCAAACUCCUACGGGAGGCAGCAGUGGGGAAUCUUGCGCAAUGGGCGAAAGCCUGGCGCAGCCAUGCCGCGUGGAUGAUGAAGGUCUUAGGAUUGUAAAAUCCUUUCACCGGUGAAGAUAAUGACUGUAGCCGGAGAAGAAGCCCCGGCUAACUUCGUGCCAGCCGCCGCAGUAAUAC
rnacentral:rRNA from 1 species